rnacentral:rRNA from 1 species
AUUGAACGCUGGCGGCAUGCUCUACACAUGCAAGUCGAACGGUAACAGGCCGCAAGGUGCUGACGAGUGGCGAACGGGUGAGUAAUGCAUCGGAACGUGCCCAGUCGUGGGGGAUAACUACUCGAAAGAGUAGCUAAUACCGCAUACGAUCUAUGGAUGAAAGCGGGGGACCGUAAGGCCUCGCGCGAUUGGAGCGGCCGAUGUCAGAUUAGGUAGUUGGUGGGGUAAAGGCUCACCAAGCCAACGAUCUGUAGCUGGUCUGAGAGGACGACCAGCCACACUGGGACUGGGACACGGCCCAGACUCCUACGGGAGGCAGCAGUGGUGAAUUUUGGACAAUGGGCGCAAGCCUGAUCCAGCAAUGCCGCGUGCAGGAAGAAGGCCUUCGGGUUGUAAACUGCUUUUGUACGGAACGAAACGGCUCUGGUUAAUACCCGGGGCUAAUGACGGUACCGUAAGAAUAAGCACCGGCUAACUACGUG